AACUGAAUAGUCAUAAAAAACAAUCUAUAAAAUGUAUGUUAAUUGUAUGUCAGUAAAUUGAUUGACAUAGCAGUGAUCGUCCAAUCGCGUUAGAUUGGAUCAGAAGCCCCGCCCACCACGUUAGCCGCUAAUGGUAGGCGCCAUUUUAGUUUUUCUCCUUGAGAUUCACGAGACGAGCAGCAAAAUAACAGAAGCAGAUAAAAGUUCCAAAAAAUUAAUCUUCCUUUGUUUAUUUCUUUGGAUUUUGAACAAUAACCACCUGAAGACACCCUGUAAUGAGAGAUCACCCUCCCAAUGAGUCUCUUCACUGGGUUUGACAAGUCGUUCCCUGUUUGUCGUGAAAAAACUUCAGAUGACGCCAGCCCUUGAGAGGACUUCAGAUGAGGCGGACUCUGAAUGGACAUACAAAACUGCUAAAUUUGCCUUGCAUUGUAACCAACUUGAUCACAUCAUGUAACCAAACAAAACAUACAAGAUGUAUAUCUAUCUCAACAGGCUUAACUUACCUUGGUAAAAGACGUUAUAUAACAAACAUGGACUUUUACCAUGGUAACGUCAGCCUAAAAUACGUUAAAGCAGUUCAGACACCAGUUCUAGUUCCUCCUGCCACAUCAGACUCUGCUGUAUAUAUGGAGACCCUUCAUGUUGUGUGCUUUUCAUUAUUGUGCAUGCAGUUAUAAUUCAGGUAUGUGAACAUGAACAAUGGCCGUACCGUCUUUGAAUAUACCAGGCCUUUUAAUUGGUUAAUUGCAGUUGAGGUAAAAAUGAAUUUUUUUAUUAUUAUUUUUUUCUUCCAAUUGAGCUCCAACCGGUUAACAAACUAAUCACACGUUUUGGAACAGUAAGAUUUAUGUUUGUUUGUUUUUAUUUUGUUCAUUUAUUUGAUCCUAAUAGUAACUUUUUUUAAAAAAUGUAAAUAUAUUUGUAAAAAUAUAUAAAAUUUCGAAAUAUUUGGUGAGCAGAAGAGACCUCUUCUAAACUAAAUCAUCUACUGAAUGUUAAGUAAAGUUUCUAUGUUCUGGGUUUUUUUUAAUAUACAAACACACUGCCUGUAAACUGAUUUGCAUGAGUUUUGAUUGAAUGCAACCAAAGAGUGUUCAUUUUGUCAAGCGAUUAUAUAAAAGAGGCUGCGGUUAUUCCUAGUUUACGCAUUUUGUGUAAAUGGCUCUCAUAUAAUUUCAGGCAUACGCUAAGCAGAAGUUUCAGGACCGUUCAAAGGAUUAUGCGUUCUUCUUUCGUGUGGUCGCAAUGUGGUAAGUUAUUUACUUUGACAGUCUUGCAAUACGUAAAGAAAAUGUGGGGUAAUUGUAAUGUCUGCUAAAUUAGUCCCAAAAAGGCUGCGUCUCAUUUACAAUAACAAAGUCAGUAUCAUCUGAUCUACUUGUUACAUCUAAGAAGUAUGGCAUCUUUGCUAAUAUUAGUCUGUUUUAUUCUUAUUCCGAGGUCACUGGAUCAAGUCUGUAUCCAGAUCAGAUGGUGGAGACAACUCUACAGACCUGAAUGUGAGCAGAGACCGUGUCAACUAGAUGAGCCCCAAAGACAGAUCCCCAGUGAAGACCUCAUUAACUAUACAGCCAUUGACACCAAACCUCAGCAAAGACCACAAUGACAAACACCAUGUUGCUUCAUCUGGACAGGUUCUUCUCCAUUCUUGGCUUGCUUAAUUUGGGACAAUUCAUUUUUGGGUGUAUUAACGACUUAAUUGCCGAGACACUGAAGGUAAGUGAACUGAGCUGGAUGAUUAUGACAUCACUGAAUCAACGAUGAUCUGUAUUGUGUGAAGUGCUAUAUAUAUAUAUAACCUAGGGUUUGUCAAAAGAAGUAUGUCCGUAUGUACAAUAUGUACACAUCCCUCCGGAAGCAGUACCGCCAGACGCAAAUACUGCUUCCUCAAGCCGGGGCGCAAGACGCUACACGAGGCCUGCUCGCCCCGCAAGACGCAAAGGUGAGAGGAGGGAUGAAGAGACGCCAACUGGAGCGGUCCUACAAGAGGGCCUGAAACAAAACGGAAAGAGAACGGGUCGGACCUUUUGGUUCCUUCCCACCAGUAAUGAAUUCUUUAUAGCCGGUCUCAGGUUCCCUACCAUAAACCAGCUGUGGAACACGAUUUGCCCCAAACCAAGUCUCCGGAUGGGCUUUUCUUGGAGGAGAGCCCCGAGGAGGUCACAGCAUUCUGUGCAGGCCAGGUUUGGACCAGCGCUUCUUCUGCAGCAGCAACAGGUCAUGGUCGCUAGGGAAGUGUCCACACAACAGU